ensembl:misc_RNA
AAAAUUUCACAAUAGUUUGAUAACCAUGUGCAGCAUGCUGAUUUGAGCCUCUCCCAAUUCACUAAUAACCUCACUGGACCAAGCAGGGCUCAAUGUAUCUCUUCACCAGCACAUGCUUUCUGACAGCAUUAUGCAUCACC